rnacentral:rRNA from 1 species
GCCCGUUAGGAUAAGCCCUAAAAGUGCGAGUCGACGGCCGCACAGGAGAGCUUGCUCUCUGGGUGGCGAGUGGCGGACGGGUGAAGAAUACAUCGGAAUCUACUCUGUCGUGGGGGAUAACGUAGGGAAACUUACGCUAAUACCGCAUACGACCUACGGGUGAAAGCAGGGGACCUUCGGGCCUUGCGCGAUUGAAUGACCCGAUGUCGGAUUAUCUAGUUGGCGGGGUAAAGGCCCACCAAGGCGACGAUCCGUAGCUGGUCUGAGAGGAUGAUCACCCACACUGGAACUGAGACACGGUCCACACUCCUACGGGAGGCAGCAGUGGGGAAUAUUGGACAAUGGGCGCAAGCCUGAUCCAGCCAUACCGCGUGGGUGAAGAAGGCCUUCGGGUUGUAAAGCCCUUUUGUUGGGAAAGAAAUCCAGCUGGCUAAUACCCGGUUGGGAUGACGGUACCCAAAGAAUAAGCACCGGCUAACUUCGUGCCAGCAGCCGCGGUAAUACGAAGGGUGCAAGCGUUACUCGGAAUUACUGGGCGUAAAGCGUGCGUAGGUGGUCGUUUAAGUCCGUUGUGAAAGCCCUGGGCUCAACCUGGGAACUGCAGUGGAUACUGGAAGACUAGAGUGUGGUAGAGGGUAGCGGAAUUCCUGGUGUAGCAGUGAAAUGCGUAUAGAUCAAGAGGAACAUCUGUGGCGAAGGCAGCUACCUGGACCAUCAUUGACACUGAGGCACGAAGCGUGGGGAGCAAACAGGAUUAGAUAC